UUCCAUUAUGCACUUUUGUACUCAAUUAUCAUGAAAAAAAUAAGGUAGAAUAUGAAGAUGAACCUCAAGAACCAGAUCCAUUUUGCAAUAAAUACAGCGAAGAGAAAUGACUCUGAGUUUAUUAAAAACAUGGUAGGUAAACAAUAUAUUACAUUAUUACAUAAUUUUUAACGAAAAGUUGAUAAAUGUUAAGCUUGUGUUCAAUUUUAUUUUAUUUUAAUUUAAU